rnacentral:lncRNA from 1 species
AAUAAAUAAUUUUAUUUAUGAUAAAUGAAUUUACUUAAUUUAUGAGCUCAGUUGGUUGUUUUUAUGAUUUUUACCGACUUUUAUUUUUAUGUCGGUGAGUAGUGUGAUAUUCUUACUGGACUAGUGUAACUCACCCUUUGAUGAACAAUUUCAGAUCAAGAGGACUAAGAUUCAGAUCCCGAUCAGCAAGGGGUUGUGAAUAGUUUACUACCCGGACUUCCUUCAAAGGCUAGUGAAGGUCGUUCUAGGAUACCUAAUUGUUUACUUUUUAUUUACUUUUUUGAUUUUUCACUUGUUCUUUUAGAAAGAUCAUUCCCGUAGACCUAUUGGAUAUUCUAAAUUAUUGUGUAAGAAAUGUAAACCUUAACUCUAUUAUUUCGUUUUCGCAUUUAAUUUAUAA